rnacentral:rRNA from 1 species
CACAGACAACCAGGAUGUUGGCUUAGAAGCAGCCACUCAUUCAAAGAGUGCGUAAUAGCUCACUGGUCGAGUGAUCCUGCGCCGAAGAUUUCCGGGGCUAAAACUUACUACCGAAGCUACGGCAUCAGUAAUGAUGGGUAGGGGAGCUUCACAUACGGGAAGAAGCAUGAACGUAAGGACAAGAGGAUAGUAUGGGAGUUAGCUUGUUGGCAUGCGUAGCGAGAUGUGGGUGAGAAUCCCACAGGCCGUAAACCCAAGGUUUCCAGGGGAAGGUUCGUCCGCCCUGGGUUAGUCGGGACCUAAGCUGAGGCCGAAAGGCGUAGGUGAUGGACAACAGGUUGAUAUUCCUGUACUACCGAUAACCGUUUGAGAGAAGGGAUGACACAGUAGGAUAAGC